AAGACGACGCGUAUACGCGUCGUCAGAACUCAAAUUCACAACAAAAGCCAAGCGGGUCGUUCCUCUUCUCCUUCCUCCUCUCCGCCGAUGAACCGUACAUAUUAAUAAUGUGUGGGUGCGGGUUGUCGUCGGCAGCGAGAGAACUUCCCACUCACUCUCCGAAGAGGAGCGCUUCGGGAAUGCAGGAAAUGGCGCCAUAGCAAGGAAACACCAAUUUUUCCUUGGCUGGAAAGCAAGAAAAAGGACAAGGAGACACCAUGGCCCCUCUCUCGUCUCUUACCAUGCCGAUGCUUCUAUCCCUUCCCUCCUUUAAAUCUCCCCGCCUUCGAGUUCGGAGAUGCUCCAAGAACCCUAGUUCUCGGCUUCUUUUCGGGUUUCUUGUCUUCUCCAGGUUCUUGCCGAUUCCCUCGCUGAAAGAACGGACUAGUGCAUUCGCCGGAGGCAUAGAAACCCUGGGGAUCGAGGGAUUUCUUGGAGAAAAUGAUUUGAUUUCGAGACAUUUUGUGGUUGUUGAGAUUUGCUGGAGCUUAGUUCUUGCUGCGGAAACCCCCCGGAAUUGAGACGUUUUGUGGAGGAAACGCUGUAGUUAUUAAGGACAAGAAGGAAGGGCAGGUUGCAGAGGAAGCUGGGACCAAUGAAUCGAUGUCCAUGGUGAUGCUAGGAGGGAAGAAGACGAUGUGGUGGUGGAGAUCUAUGCAGAGUUCAAGCCGGUAGAUCACCCGCUCGAGCCUCCGGACAAGGACCCACCUGCGAAAUGGCCAAUGCCUGAUUCUUCCCUUCUGAAUGCAAGUGGCUAACGUGUCCUAAUAGAGACCUUUUUCUGGCUAUGUGUGACUGUAUUUAUCUAUAAAAUUCCCUGAUUAAUGGUAUGAUGACAUGUUGUUUGCCCGUAUGCAUGAGAUAUUGGAAUUUUUAAUUUUUUUAAUAGACUUGGAUUAUGGCGACUUCAAAUGAUACUAGGACUCGUAUAUGUUCAUCUAGAAGUGAUAAAUAUGAGACUGGCAAAUAAAUUUCUCCAUAUUUAAUAGAAUAUAAAGGUACUCAAACAGGAAAGUCUUUGCCUUGGGCUUUUCUUAAUUAGGGGACCUAAAAUUUGAAUGGAGUCUAGAAUUAUGAUGAUGUGGGACCGUUGAGGUUAGGAUUUACUUGGAAUCAUUUUUCUUGCUUGGAAUUUAGGUGUGUCCUGCACAUUAGGGGGGAAAAAUUAAUACUACAUCGACUUGUUAGUUUCAGUGGCCCUGGUCUAGGUUGAGUCCUGUUAGUUAAGAAACUGGCAAGCUGGUAAUAGAUUGCUACAGCUUGCAAUUAAGCUUGGAUCGGUAUUAUAUUGUGAUUUCAGUCUAAAAUCAUAAGAAGGCAUGCGAACAUGGAUGAUGAUGAGAUGUUACAAUUUUUCAUAUCAACUAUCCUCAGAAUUUCAAGUAGUUUUGCUAUUUUUAUUCAUCUUUUUUGGAGUUUGAGAGAGAGAUUUUGGACUUAAGGGUGCAAUUAUCUAGGGAGGAAGACAAUGAUGUUCUCUAGUUCACUAUUCCAUGUAUUCCUUUGCUCGGUGGUAUCAAAGCUAUACUUGGUGCAUUGUGGACCCCAACUAGGAAUACCAUUUUGAUGAAAGAACUUUAAACCAGCAAAAUGUUUCUUUAAUAGAUAAGAUGUGGGCAUCUAAGUGAAGUUCCUAUUUGGUCAUGAUUCUGGACCUUCUUGACAGGACCAACAUCCUUUGCACCAAUAAUUGAAACAGCCAUCGGCAUUGUAGAUAAUAGUGGUGGCCAAUAUCAUGUUCUUCUUAUAAUAGCAGAUGGACAGGUCAGCUAUUUAAGAUGCUUCUCUUUUCAAUUUUUCGUUGUUAUUUUUUCUAUUCGUAGAUUUUUAUUUUUUCCUAUUCGUUUUUAUAAAGCAACAAUUGACCUUCAACUUUUGGGGUAUUAGGAUGAUGUUUUUUGAUUCAUGAUUCUGAUUAAACAAUGUUUCUGCUGUUCAAGUUAUUUCCUUUUUGUUCCCCAGUAAACGAAGAGGAACACCAGAAAUGACUGCUCUCCCUCCACCAAUUAAAAGUUAUGGUUCAGCAUAUUCAAAUCCAAAAUACUCACACUCAAGCAGCUCGGAGCAAGAUUCCUGAGACUUCAAAAGCUCAUAGAGAUGAUAAUGAUAGAGCUGAAUCCCGUCCUUGAUACCUUCGAGACUUGUAUAUGUUUCUUAUUUUGCAAAGUAUAUUGUAAUUCUAAGAUAUGACAAUUUAAAUAUUUCGAAUGAUUUGAAUGUUUGUAUCAAUGUAAAUGUAAUACAGGUUCAUAUUGUUAUAAUGUGUUUUUAUAAUUUACAUUCGUAUUUUUAUUUUUUUAAAAAAAAUAGCAAUCCCGACGCUUUAAAGCGUUGGUAAAUAAAAGUUGUGGCACGCCUACGCCGACGUUUU